GGGUGCAUUACUGGGCAAUGACUUCUUUGGCUGAUAGCAAUUCAACUGCAAAUCAUUUAGGUGAUUAUAGUCAUAGAGACUAAGCUCACUGCCAAAGAAGAUUUGCCCCGCAAUUCACUC